UGUGCCCUUGCUGGGGAGUCAGCAAGGCUCAUCACAACAACCGUAUAACAUAAGAGCCUGGUGCGCAGGCCUUUGACAACUUCUAUCUCUUGCCCCACUCUACAGGCAGAGAAGAUGGCUUAGAGAACUCAUCAGAAACUUCCCACCACUCUCGGGACCGAUUCUAAGCUCCAGUGUGACUAGAGUCUGGGAAACCAGGGCAGGAUAUGGAGAACACAAAGGGAAAAGGUGAGAAAAUUGAUGCAUGAGUUAAUGAACUUGCCAAAGAUCACACUCAAUAAAAAAGCUGGAAUUCUGUCUUCAGAUCCCCUGCUCUUAACGACUAUACUAUAAAUCUUUCAAUUAAAUGGAUGACAUUCUGGGAUCAUGAAAAA